UGAGGAAUAUUGCGCAAUGGCCGAAAGGCUGACGCAGCGACGCCGCGUGAAGGAUGAAGUCCGUUAGGAUGUAAACUUCUUUUGCAGGGGAUGAAAUCCCCGGUCUACGGGGUGUGACCGUACCCUGCGAAUAAGGAUCGGCCAACUACGUGCCAGCAGCCGCGGUAAUACGUAGGAUCCGAGCGUUGUCCGGAAUUACUGGGUGUAAAGGGCGUGUAGGUGGAUCUCUAAGUCGGUGGUGAAAUCCUGCAGCUUAACUGCAGAACUGCUUCCGAUACUGGAGAUCUUGAGUGCGGCAGAGGGAGAUGGAAUUCAUGGUGUAGCGGUGAAAUGUGUAGAUAUCAUGAAGAACACCGGUAGCGAAGGCGGUCUCCUGGUCCGCAACUGACACUGAGGCGCGAAAGCGUGGGGAGCAAACAGG
rnacentral:rRNA from 1 species